rnacentral:lncRNA from 1 species
ACAUGGUCCUCACUCAACAUGAAGUGGAGUUCCACACAGAAAAAGCAAUGGAAUCUUGAAAUUCGCAGGCAAAUGGAUGGAACUAGAAGAAACCAUCCUGAAUGAGGUAACCCAGUCACAAAAAGACAAACAUGAGCCCUCAUCCAGUGGCUGAUGGAAGCAGAGACAGACAUCCACAGAUAUACACUGAGCUGAAAUCGGGAAUUUAGUUGAACAGAGGGAGGAAUGAAGAUUGAAGGGGUCUGUACCAGGUUGGAGAAACCCACAGAAGCAGUUGGCCUAAACAAGGGAGAGCACAUCGAUCCCAGAUGCUAACUGGGAGACCAGUACAAGACUGAUCCAGCCCCCUGAACAUGGAUGUCAAUAAGGACGCCUCUGUACUCCAGGGAGCCUCUGGAAAUGGAUUA